UGGUCCCUUGGCAGAGAUACAUCAGGAAGAGUUGUUCAAGGUUCUUCUGUAGUCAGCAGGGAGAACCUGGGAUCUCUGCAGGGCAAUUAAUGUUGUAAAAUUGCUCUGGGCAAGAACAUUUCCAGCUCUGGCAGCCACAGAGGGAGCCUGUGCAGUGUAGGCUUCUGACUUGGGUGCUGCAGGGAGACUUGAAAAAUGACUUCCAGUUUAUUAAGUCAGAAAAUGAUCCAUAUCCACAGUGUAACUUCAGUGGAACAGAGGCUUUGACUCUUUUCAAGAAAAUCAGAAUUCAUAUCAGGACCAGAUAUACACCAGUAUCUUGGCAAACUUUGUGGAACGAAAAUCUUAACCAAGGAGUACUGGUCUAGUCCUGACGUGCCAGCUGUCUGAACACAGGUCAGGGCACUCCAAGAGUCUCUCCUCCAUGAAAACAUUUGCUUUGGGAGCUGCCCAUGAGAGUUUCAGGUUUUCCUUUGGCUUGAUGGGCCCAAAUCCAACAGCAGUGUCCAGGCAAAGGUGACCUCAGGGGUAGAUGACUGGAAGGUGUCUGGACAUUCCAGUGGCUUGUGAAACACCUACAACUAAACAUGUGGUCUUCAAGAAAUCAGAAUCUAUCUCUAUGGGAAAUCUCAAGACUCCCUACCACAGACAGAGGAAGUUUGGGGAAUGUGUAUGUGGAGGCAAAGCUGGGUUUGUAUGGAAGAGUUAACAACUGACGAGAAUCUAAAAGAUCUGUAUCUAGAUGGAAAAAAAAUCACAUAAAAGCAGGAUCUGCUUUCCCUUUACUGAGGAUAUAAUGUACAAAAAUACUACAAUGAUUAAUAAGAGACAGUAACAAUUUUUGGGUGCAGAUAGAUAUGGAAUCCACUAACAUUAUAGAUCACCUCAGGACAGUCUCUGGUGAAGAAAAAUACUUAAAGGACUUUUUGUUCAGUCCUUUCCUACCUGCCAUUGCUUGAUAAGACAUUUCUCCCUUUCCAAGUGUCCUUUAAAUUUCACACAAAGAGCAUGGGCUCUGUCAGUCACUUUAAUUUUCAGAGAACAAACAGAUCUUUGGACAGUAUUUCCUCCCCACAAAAAAAAAGCCAGGAUGCACUUUUGGUUACAAGGAUCAACAGAAAUUUGUCAGCUGCAUGAAAACACACUACAAAAGACUCAUUUUGCUUUAUAGACAGUAUCUUAUAGCAUAAAAGUUGUGGGAACACUGUACAAAUAAAACCACAUUAAAUGCUGAUUGGAACAGAAGUUCUUCAUUUAUACUGCUGUAAAAACAAUAUUGUAUGAAAUGUAAACUAAGAUAAUGUAAGGAUACACCAACCUUUAUUCCUAUUUUGAAAUAUAAAGAUGCUUUGGGAAGAUUUAUUAACUAUGCAAGUUAGACCAUUAUUUGAAUGGAUUCUCUAAUUAUCCAUAUUCACUGACUACCUGAUUUUUUACUUUUAAGAAGGAGCAAUGUCUUCUGUAAAACCACAUACACUCAGAAUGAGAUUUUUGUGCUCAGAAUACAACUUCAGUGUUUCUGAGAGGUGUUUACUGCAAAUACAGUGACUGGUUUUUUUACAAUCAUUUCCAAUAAGCUAAGUUUUACUGUAUUAUCAAUAUGUCUUGUCAAGGAAGUCAGAGCAACAAAAGCUAAAUAUUUUUUAUUGUUUUGUACUAUUAGAGCAAUAUAAAGUACCAGCAUAAUUUAAUUUACAACAGGAAAAAAAAGCAGCAUAUUUUAUUUGACCUAAAGUUGUCAUUUAUAUACACAAGUGUCCAUUUAACUAAGCUUAAAAAACCCCAACCCCAAAACCCCUUGAUUCAUUACACAUGAGGUUCUCUAUUUUUUUUUUUCUUUCACUAUGAAAUUAAAGCAUAACCCCCUUUUGGAAAUGUAGUUUAGGUGGUUAUAUCAUGAAUCCUGGGUUUUGGAUCAUCCAUUUUACACAGUCACUACUAGAUAUAGGAGUCCUGCAUUUUAGCAGAUACACAGCAGUGAUGAAUCUCAUGUUUUAAGAACAACACAUCCAGUCUGCCCAAGCAAAUCCUUGUGGGUCACAAGGAACAUCAAAGCAGUGCUUGGGGGCUUAGACUGUAGGAUGAAGCUAAGCAGAAUAAAAAAUGUUUCUCAGUAACAGGUUAUUGAAAAAAAUCCAUCCACCAAAUGCUAAUAUGGAUAAGGCAUCGUGGUUGCUCUUGAUAUAAAUUUUGUGAAAUACCAGUUUGAAAUGUUAGAACGCUUGGUGCAAAGAAAAAUAGGUUUCUUCUGAAAGCGUGCUGGAUCCUUGCAAGUCACACCCAGGGUUUCCAUCCGGGAAAGAGACGGCUCAGAUUUUUAGGGUCCAUGGCCUGUUGGAUGAGGAGGUUCACCUGCCCUCCCACACUGAGCACUGUUCCCUCCUCAACACCUUUCAGCUUCUCCUGGAGUCUCAUCAGAACACGCUCAGCCACCUUGUUAAAGCUCUGGUCGUCACUGCUGGCAGAAUAAAAAAAGAAAAAGAGAUGCUCUAGGUUCUUGUGGAUCAGUCCCAAGUGUAGAGCUCAUGUCAGCCUCAUCCUCUGGCCUCUGCUGCAAAUACAAAGCUUUCAAGGGGUUCAUGGUCCAGUCGAAAAGAGGAUCAUAGAGCAGCACCUACACA